rnacentral:snRNA from 1 species
UCCCUGGAAAGGGGCGCCAGA